rnacentral:rRNA from 1 species
CCCUUAGAUGUCCUGGGCCACACGCGCGCUACACUGAUGCAUUCAACGAGCUUAUAACCUUGGCCGAGAGGCCUGGGCAAUCUUGUUAACGUGCAUCGUGAUAGGGAUAGAUUAUUGAAAUUAUUAAUCUUGAACGAGGAAUUCCUAGUAAACGCAGAUCAUCAAUCUGCAUUGAUUACGUCCCUGCCCUUUGUACACACCGCCCGUCGCACCUACCGAUUGGAUGGUCCGGUGAAGCCUCGGGAUUGUGGUUCUUGCCGCUUUAUUGUGGCGUGACCGCGAGAACUUGUCUAAACCUUAUCAUCUAGAGGAAGGUGAAGUCGUAACA